AGACUAGUAGCGAAGUGGUCAAACGCGAGAGAUUUAAGUCCUCUUCCUUAGGGUUCGUGGGUUCGAACCCCACCUAGUCUA